rnacentral:rRNA from 1 species
CAUUGAGUCAAUACUGAUGCUUUCUUUUCCCAACAGUCUAGUCUUCUCUGGGAAACUAAGACGGGUUGGCCCUAGUUAGUACCUGGAUGAGAGACUGCCUGGGAAUAUCAGGUAAGAUGCAGUUA